AGGACAGCCCAGAACAGGCCAGCCCAGGACAGGACAGGACAGCACAGGACAGCCCAGGACAGGACACCCCAGGACAGCCCAGGACAGGACAGCCUAUUCAGGUGUAAAAGACAGAGUCCGUCCUAAAAGCUUUGUUUCUCUUUGUAGACUAUCCCCCAUGAACCUUUUAUAAAGAAAGUUGGCCUAUUUAUUUUAAGUAUAACAAUAAAUAUGAUUAAAAUUGUGCUUUUUGAAUCCGCUUGUGUGUAGUUGUAGGAAGCUGAAGGAAUAUCCUGUCCGUAACUCAUUAAACGUGUACCACUGCCAAAACUUCUGUGCUUAGACUUAUUGACCAAAGUACUGUUUUCUUUGUCUAGGAUGCAUAGUUAUUCCAAUGCACUUGUACACUUUGUAGUAUGCAGUGUGCAGUUUGUAGUAGGCCGUGUACGAUUUUUCAUAUGCCAUUUACACUUUGUAGUAUGUGGUGUACACUUUGUAAUAUGCAGUGUACUAUUUUUCAUAUGCAGUGUACACUUUAGUAUGCAGUUUGUAGAAUGCAGUGCACGAUUUGUCAUAUGCCGUUUACACUUUGUAGUAUGCAGUGUACUAUUUGUAGUAUGCAGUUGUACUAUUUGUAGUAUGCAGUGUACUAUUUGUAGUAUGUAGUGUACUAUUUGUAGUAUGCAGUGUACACGUUGUAGUAUGCAGUGUACACGUUGUAGUAUGCAGUGUACUAUUUGUAGUAUGCAGUGUACUAUUUGUAGUAUGCAGUGUACACGUUGUAGUAUGCAGUGUACACGUUGUAGUAUGCCGUGUACUAUUUGUAGUAUGCCGUGUACUCUUUGUAGUAUGCCGUGUACUCUUUGUAGUAUGCCGUGUACACUUUGUAGUAUGCAGUGUACACUUUGUAGUAUGCCGUGUACACUUUGUAGUAUGCCGUGUACACUUUGUAGUAUGCAGUGUACUCUUUGUAGUAUGCAGUGUACUCUUUGUAGUAUGCAGUGUACUAUUUGUAGUAUGCAGUGUACACUUGUUAUGUCUUAAUAAUUAGCAAUGCACAGCUCCUGCUGUAAACCAAAUAGUAUCAAAAGCUUUGUCUUUUAUAUGUGUUCAUAUCAACUCUGAGUUAUCACAUUUACCAGUUAUUAACAUGUAGUUCAUUACCCUAAACAUGUAUUCUAAGGAUGGGAUUUGACAUAAAACUAGUCUUGGGACACAUGUUCGUACAGAGCACGUGUUUAUUGAAAUACAUUAUAUUGUCUAAUCGUUUUAUUACAUGGAUAUUUACACUUAUGAAAUACAUUAAACAAUAUAAUUGUUUUAUUACAUGGAUAUUUACACUUAUGAAAUACAUUAGACAAUAUAAUUGUUUUAUUACAUGGAUAUUUACACUUAUGAAAUACAUUAUAUUGUCUAAUCGUUUUAUUACAUGGAUAUUUACGUUCAAUUUAUGUUCAUUUUUUAUCUUUCUGAAGAAUUGCGCUCGUCGAUCAUUCCUCUCCCUAACUGGUUUUUCUAGUGGGAUCUUUCUAUGCAAGACAUCUACAUCAAAUCAUUGUUUAAAUCCAGAAAUGAUGAAAUAAAUAUAUAUAUACAGUAUGAAUAUAAAGUAGACCUUUAUCUUAAUGCUGAACCAACCACGUCAGGUGUUGUCUUUCUGUGGUAGUUUUUCUUUCUGCUAGUAUCAACGUGUUAUUUGUGUUUCUAUAAUGUUUUUCCUUGGUUUAGUGUGGUGGAAGAAGGGGCGGUUUUAUCUGGUGGCGUUUUGAGUGGGAGGAAGUUGUUGUUUUUGUCUCAGUCAGAAUGUUUGUCAGAACUCUUGGAAUUGGAAUGUUCAGUUUGAUUGACAGGCGUCUGUCGGCGUUCUUCGCCGUCUCCACGGCAACGGCAAAUAAGAUGGUUAAAAUUAAACGUCAAAUCAUUAUCUCUCUGAACACAUUUGUUU
rnacentral:lncRNA from 1 species